UACUAUCCAUUCCAGUUUGACAAGCAUUGGGCUCCGGUUUCGUAGUAUACACUUUUUUAUUUAAAGGAUAAAUUCGCAUAGAAAGAAGUUUGUAAGUCGCCUGAAAAAUAGUAAUUGCAAAAUAGCAAUUCUCUGGUGCCAGUGAAAAAGCGUGUUUAUUAAUAAUUGACCAAAGAGAGAAUAAGAUUGGUUAUUGUAUGCUGGUUAUUAAUCAUGAUAAGCCCGAUGUCAUUUCAUUACAAGUGGCCGCAGGGCUAAAAGGCGAAAAUUAUUACCAAAGCCGUGACACGCAACUCCAAUUACAUUUAACCAAAGCCCCAACCCGCAUCGUUUUGAACUGGACCUCAAUUACAGGGCCAUUCACAAACACAUGUUGACAAAUUGCCGACGUCUCCAGGCGAAAAAAAAGGCUUCCAGCUAUGGAAUAAAACGUGAAUGGACAUGGAAAUGGGUUUAUGGGGGCGUAUAAAAUGGGGACUAAAGCUUUGAAGGUCCCUUUUCGACAUUUAGUCGUCAGGGCAACCGUGUUGGCGUCGUCGUCUUGACUGUUUGUCGUUGGACGCGUUUCGCUUUUUCUUUUUACGCCGCCGCAUAUAUGUAUGUAUAUUUUGCUCAGUUUUUCUUUUUCCUAUGUUGGCAUACACAUGUUCUCAAAUUUAUAGGAUUUUCACCUUGAGACGACAUCGAUUUGUUGUGACGCGUGAUUCGUAAAAGGCCGGUAGAACGAACGGCCUUGUUAGUGAGAAAGGAUAUUAGCCAGUCUUACGAGCAUUUUGCGUAGCAUAGAAAUGGCCAGAGUUAAAAAAGAACACGACAGUUAUUUUACUGUUAAAUAAUGUGUUGUCUGUGGCUAGAAACAAAAGAGACUGUUGAAAGUACAAAUCACAUCACAAUGACUAAGCUACAAAAUAAUUUAUGUAUAUUUCAGAAGUAAAAUAAAAAUCCCAAAAAUGAUAUUAAACUUUACUUAAGAACACUGAUACUUUAAAAAUACUAAACAAAAUCAUUAAUUUCCCUGUUUUGAGGAAUUCUGUAGCCUUAUUUAUUGCAAAUUGAAAAGUGCCAAAUGAAACUGCAAAGCCCCAUAAAUCAGCAUUUGGCCCAUAAAAAGAAAGGCGAUGCAACAAGACUCAGCAUAAACAAGCAUGGAAGAAACCAACAGCAAAACGAAA